rnacentral:rRNA from 1 species
CUCUGAGACAGGUGCUGCAUGGCUGUCGUCAGCUCGUGUUGUGAAAUGUUGGGUUAAGUCCCGCAACGAGCGCAACCCUUAUCCUUUGUUGCCAGCGAUUCGGUCGGGAACUCAAAGGAGACUGCCGGUGAUAAACCGGAGGAAGGUGGGGAUGACGUCAAGUCAUCAUGGCCCUUACGAGUAGGGCUACACACGUGCUACAAUGGCGCAUACAAAGAGAAGCGACCUCGCGAGAGCAAGCGGACCUCAUAAAGUGCGUCGUAGUCCGGAUCGGAGUCUGCAACUCGACUCCGUGAAGUCGGAAUCGCUAGUAAUCGUGGAUCAGAAUGCCACGGUGAAUACGUUCCCGGGCCUUGUACACACCGCCCGUCACACCAUGGGAGUGGGUUGCAAAAGAAGUAGGUAGCUUAACCUUCGGGAGGGCGCUUACCACUUUGUGAUUCAUGACUGGGGUGAAGUCGUAACAAGGUAACCGUAGGGGAACCUGCGGUUGGAUCACCUCCUUA